AUAUAUGUACACAUAUAUAUAUAAAUAUAUAUAUAUAUAAAACAUAUAUAUGUACACAUACACACACACACACACACAUAUAAGUACUAGACGUUUUCAGAAAGGGAGAGAUAAAAUGAAACUGGUGUUUUUGGAGAGAUAGUUGUCCUGUGGUUUGGAGUGUGGUAUAAAUAGACACCUGAGAUUGGAGUCCAGGACAGCGGGUAGGAAACUAUUACAGUAGCUUAUUCACAAACUGGUAAGGGCCUGAGCCAGGGUAAUGGUGAGGGGAGAGGAAAGCUUGGGCAGGAGACAUGAAAGAAAUGCCAAAACCUGUGACUGAGUGGGUUAGAAGAACAACAGAGACCGAAAAAUGUUCACCCCUUCAACAACAUUUAUAAACACCAUCUGGAUGCCAUCCAUUGUUUGGAUCCAAAUAUGGAGAGUCAAAUCACAUUUCCUAACUUCAAAAAGUACAUCGUGUAAUGAAAAAUGAGAGCAAAUAAACAAAUGCUUAAAAUAGGAUGUGAUGACAACUCCAUGCAGGAACACAGUAUAAAAGCAGUGCAUGGAAUGGGGCAUGUACAUCAGGAAAGGAGUUUAAUGUUAGGUUCUUCUAGAAGCCAACUCAAAGAUUUCACUUCGAGUAAAAGCCUAUACAUCAAGGAACAAUUUCAACUUUUAAGUCUUGUGAUUGAAGAAACAUAUUUUGUAAGGCUGUAGCUGCCAUAGAUAGGUAUUACUCUGAUGCAUUUGGGCAAUGUAAAUUGAAAAUCUUCUGGAAAAGAUUCACCAUUCUAGGUUCCAAUUAAGUACAUUCAUGAUUCAAAAUAUGAAUGUCAAAAUAUACACAUUCACAGGAGCUUAGAAGUUUUUCCAACCCUCAUGGGUGACUUUGAGAGAUUCAAGACUUCAGCGGAGGAUAUAACUGAAGAGGAGAUGAAAAUAGAAAGAGAACUGAAUUAGAAGUGGAGCCUGAAGAUAAAACUGAAUUGCUGUAAUGUAAUAAACUUGAACAGGUGAAGGAUUGCUUCUUAUGGAUGAGCAAAUAAAUAGUUACUUGAGAUGGAAUCUACUCCUGGUGAAGAUGCUGUGAACUUUGUUGAAAUAAUAACAAAAGAUUUAGACUAUUACAUCAACUGAAUUGAUAACGCAGUUCUGGGAUUUGAAAGGAUUGACUCCAAUUUUGAAAUAAGUUCUACUGUGGGUAAAAUGCUAUCAAACAGUAUCACAUGCUGCUAGAAGUGUUUCAUGAAAGGAAGAGUCAAUCAAUGCAGUAAACUUUAUCAUUGUCUUAAUUUUAAGAAAUUGCCACAGCCACUCAACCUUCAGAAACCACCACCUUACCUUCAUCAGUCAGCAGCCAUCAACAGGUAGGUAAAACCCUCUACCUUCAAAAAUCUUGAAGACUUAUUACUGUUAGCAUGUUUUAGUAAUAAACUAUUUUUACAUUAAAGUAUGUACACUUUUUCUUAGACAUAAUGCUAUUACACACUUAAUAGACUGCAGUAUAGUGUAAACACAACUUUAAUAUGCACUGUGGAACCAAAACCUUCAUACGACUUGUUUUAUUGUGAUAUUUGCAUUUGUGCAGUGAAUGGUCUGGAACCAUAUCCACAAUAUGUCUGAAAUAUGCCUGUGUUCUUAGAACAGAAUACUUGCUAUCUUAUAGAUGACCUAACUUAAAUAUAGUCCAGAGUUAAGAUAAGAUGUUUAAAUAAAAGAAGAAAAAGAGAAAAAUCACAUUAAAAGAUGUAAUUGCAAUGGCCCAUUCAAUAUAAUAAGGCUAUUUUCAACUG
rnacentral:lncRNA from 1 species